GAUGAAGAACGCAGCGAAAUGCGAUAAGUAAUGUGAAUUGCAGAAUUCAGUGAAUCAUCGAAUCUUUGAACGCACAUUGCGCCCGCUAGUAUUCUGGCGGGCAUGCCUGUCCGAGCGUCAUUUCAACCCUCAAGCCCCCGGGCUUGGUGUUGGGGAUCGGCGAGCCUCCGCGCCCGCCGUCCCCUAAAUCUAGUGGCGGUCUCGCUGUAGCUUCCUCUGCGUAGUAGCACACCUCGCACUGGGAAACAGCGCGGCCACGCCGUUAAACCCCCAACUUCUGAACGUUUGACCUCGGAUCAGGUAGGAAUACCCGCUGAACUUAAGCAUAUCAAUAAGCAGGA
rnacentral:misc_RNA from 1 species